rnacentral:rRNA from 1 species
GCACAAGCGGUGGAGCAUGUGGUUUAAUUCGACGCAACGCGCAGAACCUUACCAGCCCUUGACAUGUCCAGGACCGGCACCAGAGAUGGAGCCUUCUCUUCGGAGCCUGGAGCACAGGUGCUGCAUGGCUGUCGUCAGCUCGUGUCGUGAGAUGUUGGGUUAAGUCCCGCAACGAGCGCAACCCCCGUCUUUAGUUGCUACCAUUUAGUUGAGCACUCUAAAGAGACUGCCGGUGAUAAGCCGCGAGGAAGGUGGGGAUGACGUCAAGUCCUCAUGGCCCUUACGGGCUGGGCUACACACGUGCUACAAUGGCGGUGACAAUGGGAUGCUAAGGGGCGACCCCUCGCAAAUCUCAAAAAGCCGUCUCAGUUCGGAUUGGGCUCUGCAACUCGAGCCCAUGAAGUUGGAAUCGCUAGUAAUCGUGGAUCAGCAUGCCACGGUGAAUACGUUCCCGGGC